rnacentral:sRNA from 1 species
GACUAGCCCCGAUGGGAGUGGAAAUCCUUUUUUUGCUUUAUUUCGACUUCGCUCAAUUUGACAAAGCAAAAAAAGAUUGUAGCGAACAGCGGGACUGUUA